UUAAGCGACUAAGCGUACACGGUGGAUGCCCUGGCAGUCAGAGGCGAUGAAGGACGUGCUAAUCUGCGAAAAGCGCCGGCGAGGUGAUAUGAACCCUUGACCCGGCGAUGUCCGAAUGGGGAAACCCAGUGUGUUCCGACACACUAUCGUUAACUGAAUACAUAGGUUAACGAGGCGAACCGGGGGAACUGAAACAUCUAAGUACCCCGAGGAAAAGAAAUCAACCGAGAUUCCCCCAGUAGCGGCGAGCGAACGGGGAGCAGCCCGGAGUCUGAAUCAGCUUGUGUGUUAGUGGAACGGUCUGGAAAGUCCGACGGUACAGGGUGAUAGUCCCGUACACGAAAGCACACUUGCUGUGAACUCGAAGAGUAGGGCGGGACACGUGGUAUCCUGUCUGAAUAUGGGGGGACCAUCCUCCAAGGCUAAAUACUCCUGACUGACCGAUAGUGAACCAGUACCGUGAGGGAAAGGCGAAAAGAACCCCGGCGAGGGGAGUGAAAAAGAACCUGAAACCGUGUACGUACAAGCAGUGGGAGCCUCUUUAUGGGGUGACUGCGUACCUUUUGUAUAAUGGGUCAGCGACUUAUAUUCUGUAGCAAGGUUAACCGUAUAGGGGAGCCGAAGGGAAACCGAGUCUUAACUGGGCGUUAAGUUGCAGGGUAUAGACCCGAAACCCGGUGAUCUAGCCAUGGGCAGGUUGAAGGUUGGGUAACACUAACUGGAGGACCGAACCGACUAAUGUUGAAAAAUUAGCGGAUGACCUGUGGCUGGGGGUGAAAGGCCAAUCAAACCGGGAGAUAGCUGGUUCUCCCCGAAAGCUAUUUAGGUAGCGCCUCGUGAACUCAUCUUCGGGGGUAGAGCACUGUUUCGGCUAGGGGGCCAUCCCGGCUUACCAACCCGAUGCAAACUACGAAUACCGAAGAAUGUUAUCACGGGAGACACACGGCGGGUGCUAACGUCCGUCGUGAAGAGGGAAACAACCCAGACCGCCAGCUAAGGUCCCAAAGUCAUGGUUAAGUGGGAAACGAUGUGGGAAGGCACAGACAGCCAGGAUGUUGGCUUAGAAGCAGCCAUCAUUUAAAGAAAGCGUAAUAGCUCACUGGUCGAGUCGGCCUGCGCGGAAGAUGUAACGGGGCUAAACCAUGCACCGAAGCUGCGGCAGCGACACUUAUGUGUUGUUGGGUAGGGGAGCGUUCUGUAAGCCGUUGAAGGUGUGCUGUGAGGCAUGCUGGAGGUAUCAGAAGUGCGAAUGCUGACAUAAGUAACGAUAAAGCGGGUGAAAAGCCCGCUCGCCGGAAGACCAAGGGUUCCUGUCCAACGUUAAUCGGGGCAGGGUGAGUCGACCCCUAAGGCGAGGCCGAAAGGCGUAGUCGAUGGGAAACAGGUUAAUAUUCCUGUACUUGGUGUUACUGCGAAGGGGGGACGGAGAAGGCUAUGUCAGCCGGGCGACGGUUGUCCCGGUUUAAGCAUGUAGGCGGAGGUUCCAGGUAAAUCCGGUACCUUUUAACGCUGAGGUGUGAUGACGAGGCACUACGGUGCUGAAGUGAUAAAUGCCCUGCUUCCAGGAAAAGCCUCUAAGCAUCAGGUAACACGAAAUCGUACCCCAAACCGACACAGGUGGUCAGGUAGAGAAUACCAAGGCGCUUGAGAGAACUCGGGUGAAGGAACUAGGCAAAAUGGUGCCGUAACUUCGGGAGAAGGCACGCUGAUAGGUAGGUGAAGCCCCUGCGGGCGGAGCUGAAAUCAGUCGAAGAUACCAGCUGGCUGCAACUGUUUAUUAAAAACACAGCACUGUGCAAACACGAAAGUGGACGUAUACGGUGUGACGCCUGCCCGGUGCCGGAAGGUUAAUUGAUGGGGUUAGCGGCAACGCGAAGCUCUUGAUCGAAGCCCCGGUAAACGGCGGCCGUAACUAUAACGGUCCUAAGGUAGCGAAAUUCCUUGUCGGGUAAGUUCCGACCUGCACGAAUGGCGUAAUGAUGGCCAGGCUGUCUCCACCCGAGACUCAGUGAAAUUGAACUCGCUGUGAAGAUGCAGUGUACCCGCGGCAAGACGGAAAGACCCCGUGAACCUUUACUAUAGCUUGACACUGAACACUGGUCCUUGAUGUGUAGGAUAGGUGGGAGGCUUUGAAGCGUGGACGCCAGUCUGCGUGGAGCCGUCCUUGAAAUACCACCCUUUAAUGGCUGGUGUUCUAACGUAGACCCGUGAUCCGGGUUGCGGACAGUGUCUGGUGGGUAGUUUGACUGGGGCGGUCUCCUCCCAAAGAGUAACGGAGGAGCACGAAGGUUGGCUAAUCCUGGUCGGACAUCAGGAGGUUAGUGCAAUGGCAUAAGCCAGCUUGACUGCGAGCGUGACGGCGCGAGCAGGUGCGAAAGCAGGUCAUAGUGAUCCGGUGGUUCUGAAUGGAAGGGCCAUCGCUCAACGGAUAAAAGGUACUCCGGGGAUAACAGGCUGAUACCGCCCAAGAGUUCAUAUCGACGGCGGUGUUUGGCACCUCGAUGUCGGCUCAUCACAUCCUGGGGCUGAAGUAGGUCCCAAGGGUAUGGCUGUUCGCCAUUUAAAGUGGUACGCGAGCUGGGUUUAGAACGUCGUGAGACAGUUCGGUCCCUAUCUGCCGUGGGCGCUGGAGAAUUGAGGGGGGCUGCUCCUAGUACGAGAGGACCGGAGUGGACGCAUCACUGGUGUUCGGGUUGUCAUGCCAAUGGCACUGCCCGGUAGCUAAAUGCGGAAGAGAUAAGUGCUGAAAGCAUCUAAGCACGAAACUUGCCCCGAGAUGAGUUCUCCCUGAGACCUUGAGUCUCCUGAAGGAACGUUGAAGACGACGACGUUGAUAGGUCGGGUGUGUAAGCGCAGCGAUGCGUUGAGCUAACCGAUACUAAUGAACCGUGAGGCUUAACCUU
rnacentral:rRNA from 1 species